UGCAGUGUGGUACAGUGGUUAGUGAACUGGGCUUUUUACUAAGAGGUUGCUGGUUCAAUUCCCAGUUAGGGCAA
rnacentral:tRNA from 1 species